rnacentral:rRNA from 1 species
GACGAACGCUGGCGGCGUGCCUAAUACAUGCAAGUAGAACGCUGAAGAGAGGAGCUUGCUCUUCUUGGAUGAGUUGCGAACGGGUGAGUAACGCGUAGGUAACCUGCCUUGUAGCGGGGGAUAACUAUUGGAAACGAUAGCUAAUACCGCAUAACAAUGGAUGACACAUGUCAUUUAUUUGAAAGGGGCAAUUGCUCCACUACAAGAUGGACCUGCGUUGUAUUAGCUAGUAGGUGAGGUAAUGGCUCACCUAGGCGACGAUACAUAGCCGACCUGAGAGGGUGGUCGGCCACACUGGGACUGAGACACGGCUCAGACUCCUACGGGAGGCAGCAGUAGGGAAUCUUCGGCAAUGGGGGCAACCCUGACCGAGCAACGCCGCGUGAGUGAAGAAGGUUUUCGGAUCGUAAAGCUCUGUUGUAAGUCAAGAACGGGUGUGAGAGUGGAAAGUUCACACUGUGACGGUAGCUUACCAGAAAGGGACGGCUAACUACGUG